rnacentral:rRNA from 1 species
UACAGAGGUCUCAAGCGUUGUUCGGAUUCACUGGGCGUAAAGGGUGCGUAGGCGGUCGGGUAAGUCUGAUGUGAAAUCUCAGAGCUCAACUCUGAAACUGCAUUGGAUACUAUUCGGCUUGAGGUCUGGAGGGGGGACUGGAAUUCUUGGUGUAGCAGUGAAAUGCGUAGAUAUCAAGAGGAACACCAGUGGCGAAGGCGAGUCCCUGGACAGAUCCUGACGCUGAGGCACGAAAGCGUGGGGAGCAAACAGG